UACGUAGGGUCCGAGCGUUGUCCGGAAUUAUUGGGCGUAAAGGGCUCGUAGGCGGUUUGUCGCGUCGGGAGUGAAAACUCAGGGCUUAACCCUGAGCGUGCUUCCGAUACGGGCAGACUAGAGGUAUGCAGGGGAGAACGGAAUUCCUGGUGUAGCGGUGGAAUGCGCAGAUAUCAGGAGGAACACCGGUGGCGAAGGCGGUUCUCUGGGCAGUACCUGACGCUGAGGAGCGAAAGCAUGGGGAGCGAACAGG
rnacentral:rRNA from 1 species